rnacentral:rRNA from 1 species
GAUGAACGCUGGCGGCGUGCCUAAUACAUGCAAGUCGAGCGGCAGCACGGUCUUCGGACUGGUGGCGAGCGGCGGACGGCUGAGUAACGCGUAGGAAUAUACCCCAAAGUGAGGGAUAACUGCCCGAAAAGGUGGCUAAUACCGCAUGUGGUCUUCGGACUAAAGCCUUCGGGCGCUUUGGGAAUAGCCUGCGUAAGAUUAGCUAGUUGGUGAGGUAAUGGCUCACCAAGGCGACGAUCUUUAGCUGGUCUGAGAGGAUGACCAGCCAGACUGGAACUGAGACACGGUCCAGACUCCUACGGAGGCAGCAGUAGGGAAUUUUCCACAAUGGGCGAAAGCCUGAUGGAGCAACGCCGCGUGCAGGAUGAAGGCCCUCGGGUCGUAAACUGCUUUAUGUGCGAAGAAUAUGACGGUAACACAUGAAUAAAGGGUCGGCGUAACUACGUGCCAGCAGCCGCGGUAAU